CUCCCGUGUUCUCUCUCUUUCAGCUUUCUCCUUUGGUUUUCAAACUUCAUUUGUUCCUCUUCACAACAGAAAUUUAUUUGAGUUGGUUGAGUACAUAAAGAAUUGUUGACGUCGAAAUUCUUCAACAAAUCAGGGUUGGCGUGGAAGAGACUCCCUUUCUUGAAUCAUUAGCGUUGCCUACCGGGUUCGUUAAUCAUGCCAAUACCGACGAUGAGUUAACAGAUGAUGACAGGGAAUAAAUAUAUUAAUUAUUUUUUGUAUUAAUUAGACUUUGUUUCAUUUUGUAUGCUAUGAUAUCGUAUCAUAAAAUUAUAUUUCUGUUUUU